rnacentral:tRNA from 1 species
GGGGACGUAGCUCAGCUGGGAGAGCGACGCGAUGGCAUUGCGUAGGUCAGGGGUUCGAUCCCCCUCGUCUCCA